rnacentral:rRNA from 1 species
CCUACGGGAGACAGCAGUGAGGAAUAUUGGUCAAUGGACGGAAGUCUGAACCAGCCAUGCCGCGUGCGGGAAGACGGCUCUAUGAGUUGUAAGCUGCUUUUGUACAAGGGUAAACCUGAGUACGUGUAUUCCGCUGAACGUACUUUACGAAUACGGAUCGGCUAACUCCGUGCCAGCGGCCGCGGUAAUCCGGAGGAUCCAAGCGUUAUCCGGAUUUAUUGGGUUUAAAGGGUGCGUAGGCGGAUUGAUAAGUUAGAGGUGAAAUGUCCGGGCUUAACUCGGGAACUGCCUCUGAUACUGGUGAGCUAGAGAGUAGAUGCGGUAGGCGGAAUGCAUGGUGUAGCGGUGAAAUGCUUAGAGAUCAUACGGAACACCGAUUGCGAAGGCAGCUUGCCAAUCUAUAUCUGACGUUGAGGCACGAAAGCGUGGGGAGCAAACAGGAUUAGAUACCCUAGUAGUC